rnacentral:rRNA from 1 species
UACAGAGGUGGCAAGCGUUGCUCGGAAUCACUGGGCGUAAAGCGCACGUAGGCGGAUCUUUAAGUCAGGGGUGAAAUCCCAAGGCUCAACCUUGGAACUGCCUUUGAUACUGGGGAUCUCGAGUCCGGAAGAGGUGAGUGGAACUGCGAGUGUAGAGGUGAAAUUCGUAGAUAUUCGCAAGAACACCAGUGGCGAAGGCGGCUCACUGGUCCGGUACUGACGCUGAGGUGCGAAAGCGUGGGGAGCAAACAGG